rnacentral:lncRNA from 1 species
AGGGGACAGGGAUACUGGAGUGAUGGAGGUAGAUAUGUAUAGGGGGAAGGAGACAGGGAUACUGGAGGGAUCGAGGUAGAUAUGUAUAAGGGACAGGGAUACUGGAGUGAUGGAGGUAGAUAUGUAUAGGGGGAAGGGGAUAGGGAUACUGGAGUGAUGGAGGUAGAUAUGUAUAGGGUUAAGGUGACUAGAGUGUGAGAGAGUGUACAUAGAGACAGUGCAAAAAUAAAAUACAAGGGUCAACUUAGAGAAUCCAUGCUGUUAGCUAUUUAGUCAGCUAUAUAGCAGUCUUAUGGCUUGGGGAUAGAAGUUGUUCAGAGGCUGUUCGGCUUUGCAUUUAGACCAAAAAGUGUAUUUCCUUUUCCAUUUUGUAUUUAAAUUACUUUAGUGCUUUGUUGCGUGAUGCUAUCGCGUCUGCAUGGACCAACAUUCCUGUGGGAACAUUUCUGAUACCUUGUAGAAUGCCCCAGAGAAUUCAGGUUGUUCUGGAGGCAAAGGGAGUCCGACCCGGUACUAGAUGGGAGUACCUAAUAAACUGUCCGGUGAGUGUAUAAUCCACAGCAUAAUUAUUAACUUAAACCAUGCUUAAAGAGAUAUUCAAAUAUCUGAUUUGUUAUUGUUAUGCAGCUACCAAUCGCUGUCCUUCUUUAUGAGGCUUUCGUAAAGCUCCCUGGUCUUUGUAGUUUAACCUGUGCUUGAUAUUCUAAUACUUGACUGAGGGACUGAUGUUAUAUGUUUUGGGGGACCGAGGAAGUCAUUCAAAAAUCAUGUCAUCCCCUAUUAUUCCAUGUAAAUUAUUGUGUGAUUUGUUAAGGCACAUUUUACUCCUGAACUAAGUUACUCUUGACAUAACAAAGGGUCUGAAUACUUAUACAAUGAUUAUUUUAGUUAUGAUUUUUUUUAUUUCUAUUAACUUUUAUUUUUUUUUAAAUCUUCCACUUUGACAUGAGAGUGUUUGGUGUAGAUUGUUGACAAAAAAAAAAAAGACAAUUCAAUUAAUUUUAAUCCCACUUGUGAAGAAAUCCAAAAGUGUCUGAAUUAUUUUGCGAGGUACUGUAUACGCAUAUUAUUAUCAAUAUUAUCAUAUGCGUCUCUGUUUCAGCACCGACUGGUAGAUUUAAAAAUACUCUAAUUUUGUAGAUUAUUUAGGCAGGAUUAGUUUUAAACAGGUUUGGACAAGCCUUUUACGCACCGAAUAUAUUGAUGAAUCAAAAAUGGUGGUUUGAUUCAUCCUGAAAUUUGCCAUAUUGAAGUUCAAUCAAUCAACCAAUGGGAAGGUGAGAAAAGUGUACAAUAGGGGUUGAUCAAUAGUCCUAUAAAUCUACCCUGAUAAUCACUAAUCAUGGAACUAUAGUCCUAGAAAUUACCCUGAUAAUCACUAAUCAUGGAACUAUAGUCCUAUAAAUCUACCCAGACAGAACGCGUCUCCUUCCUGAGCGGUAUGACGGCUGCGUGGUCCCAUGGUGUUUAUACUUGCGUACUAUUGUUUGUACAGAUGAACGUGGAACCUUCAGGCGUUUGGGAAAUUGCUCCCAAGGAUGAACCAGACUUUUUGGUGAGGUCUUGGCUGAUUUUUUUUAGAUUUUCCCAUGAUGUCAAGCAAAGAGGCACUGAGUUUGAAGGUAGGUCUUGAAAUACAUCCACAGGUACACCUCCAAUUGACUCAAAUGAUAUCAAUUAGUCUAUCAGAAGCUUCUAAAUACAUGCCAUAGUUUUCUGGGAUUUUCCAAGCUGUUUAAAGGCACAGUCAACUUAGUGUAUGUAAACUUCUGACCCACUGGAAUUGUGAUACAGUGAAUUAUAAGUGAAAUAAUCUGUCUGUAAACAAUUGUUGGAAAAAUGACUUGUGUCAUGCACAAAGUAGAUGUCCUAACCUACUUGCCAAAACUAUAGUUUGUUAACAAGGAAUUUGUGGAGUGGUUGAAAAAUGAGUUUUAAUGACUCCAACCUAAG